CAAAAAAUAGUUUAAAAAAAAUUUUAAUUUUGGAGAUUAAAGAUAUAAAAAGAUUUAUUUUUUUGA
rnacentral:tRNA from 1 species